UUGGCACAGAAUGAUGGCUGCUUCCUGGCAGACAUGCACACGAAUGACUGACUCAGCAAUGAUGGGCAAUUUCCAGUCCUGCAGCAGUUUCCGGGCAUCGAGUUUCAGAUGGAUUAUUUUUCAACAACGGAAACGUGCUGUUUGUCACAUGGAGGAAUCUCCCUGUAACAUCAGUGACAACCUGGAAGGAUGAUGGAUACAGAGGCCGUGGAUGCAGAAAUUGGAAGUGGUGCCACAAGGCUGACUGGAUGUCUCCCCAUGAAUCGCAUUGCGUUCACCACUGUUAAUGGAUGCAGAAACUGAGACACAAGAAACUUAGACAAACUUAUUUAAGGACACUUGGCAGAACACCAAUUCGGGUAUAGAAAAGAACUUGAAAGCUUGAGCUAUUGACUCCAAGGGACACUGCUUUGACACCUGCGAGAAAACCUCCAGAAGAUGAUACUGAAUAGGAUUUGGUAUAUUACAUAAAAGCAGUUCUGAGAGUUUAAGAUUUGUUGGUGGGAUAUGAUCUUUCCUCCAGUAAAGAGAGAACGGUACUGAGCACACACAAUAAACCAAUUGGUAUGCCUUCGGGGCAUUAAGGAUGGUUUAAAGAUGAAGAAAAACCACUGGCUGAUUCAACACGUCCUUUCUGGGUUAAUAGUAAGUGAUAAAACACACUUCCAUGCCAUUUGGAGGAGACUUAAGAGUGAGCUGGCAUACAGCCAGAGAGCAAGCUACCCCACACUUCCUCUGCUGUCUUGGGACUCAAACACUGGACAACAGCCUCAGGAACCAGGCGGUCACCACAUCCAGUACAGGCUGGGAGCACAGUAAGACUUGUGCAUCUGCCUCUGCAGAAUGUACCAGGCUCUGCUGACUCCCCCUGGGAGGCCUUACCUUCUUGU